GACAGAGGUGGCCAAGCGUUAGGCGGAAUCACUGGGCUUAAAGGCGUGAUGUAGGCGGAUCGGUUAAAGUACCUUGUAGAAACUCCCGACGGCUCAACCGUGGAACUUGCUGGGUAUACUGGCGGUCUUGAGCCACCUAGGGGGCAAACUUGGAACAAGCGGUGGAGCGGAUGAAAUGCGUAGAUAUCGGCAUUGGAACGCCAACGGUGAAAACAGGUUCGCUGGGGUGUGCUGACGCUGAGACACGAAAGCCAGGGAGGCGAAACGGG
rnacentral:rRNA from 1 species